GGCCCAGUAGCUGACAUGUGAUCUCUUCCUUUCAAAAUGUGGCCCUCUGCCACAGUUCCCAAACUUAGGGAGAUUUCUAAAUAGAGAUUUCCACACAAGGCUCAGGAGCCCAGAAUGCCUUACAACACAGCAAGAGCUUGUAUUACUACCAGCUCUGUGACGGUCAUGUCAGCCAAAUUUGGGGACUACUGGCCUCUGCACCAUGGAGCACAGUUCCAUUUGCCUCCCUUCCUGGGGAGAAGGGAGCAGAGAGUUCAGGACUCCUUGCCAUUUGAAUCUCCGGAAUACAGAAGAAACAGCCUGCCUCCUGUCUUGGAGCCCAGCCUCUGUUGA
rnacentral:lncRNA from 1 species